rnacentral:rRNA from 1 species
UACAGAGGUGGCAAGCGUUGUUCGGAAUUACUGGGCGUAAAGGGCGCGUAGGCGGUCUUGUCAGUCCCUUGUGAAAUCCCCCGGCUCAACUGGGGAACUGCACGGGAAACAGCAGGGCUUGAGUUCGGGAGAGGGAAGCGGAAUUCCGGGUGUAGCGGUGAAAUGCGUAGAUAUCCGGAGGAACACCGGUGGCGAAGGCGGCUUCCUGGACCGAUACUGGCGCUGAGGCGCGAAAGCUAGGGGAGCAAACGGG